rnacentral:lncRNA from 1 species
UAAAAAACGGAAAAGUAAUUACAACAGAAGAACAUGUCUUUACUUCUAAUGGUCCCAAAACAAACUAUAAGAACAAUGACAAUGCUUAUUACCAAUCACUAUAUGCCAACGAAACGGAAGCAAACAUGGAUGAUAUGAACGCUUUCUUUUACUCCGAAAUGAAUAACUUCUUUUAUAACUAUUUUAAGGAGAAAAUAGAUGUAAAUAAUAUAAGAAAAAAUUAUAACAUAAAAAAUGACAAUACUACAUUUAAAUUACAUAAAGAAUAUAUAAAAACAUGUUUAAACAAAUUUAAAUUAUUUUUUCGUGAAUACUUUUAUAUUAAUUUUACGAACGAUUUAGAAUUGAAAAAGAAGAAAAAGUAUAUGUAUAAGAAUUUUUGCGUAGCUAUCUGUGACAUCUUUUUUUACAACUUAGGAAUAGCGAAAGGUGAUGGAGAUGAAAAAUUUGAACAGACAUUAGGUGGUAUAGUGAUAUAUGACUUAUAUAUAAAACAAUUUACUAAAUUAAGAAUAUUAUUAAAAAAAAUGUUUAUGUAUAUAAAUAUUAUAUACAAAAUAAUUAAAUUAGUUAACAUGAAAAAAAUAUUUAAUGAACGAUAUGAUAUACACACAUGUAAAAUGCAUGACGUCUUUUUUUUUAAUUUCUUAUAUUUUUUUUAUCAUAAAUAUUCUAGUAAGUGUCAAAACGGGUAUGGAUAUAUGAGUUCCUUAUGUAAACAAAUGUUUGUUAAUAAAAAAGAUGUAUUAGGAAACUUGAAACAAAAACUUAUUACCCUUGAAAAUAAAGACUUACAAUUUUUGGAACUAUAUGAAAAGCUAUUUGAAACGGCAAAUAAACAACAACAAACGGUCUCACCAAACAUUUUUAAAUGUGCAAAUAAUCCAUUGGAACCAUCAAACAAUAUUGACAUUGCGAUUGCUAUGGAACUUGAACGUGAGAAAAAAAAAAUACACAAAGAACAGGAACGGGAUGAAGAAUCAGAAGCAGAAGAAUUAUUGAGAGAUGUAGCAGAAGAAGCGCUUAGAAAACUUGCUGAAAGAAUAUUAAGAGAAGUUGCAUUAAUGGUAGCAAACGUGGCUAAAGAGGUGGCAAUGGAGCAGGCUAAGCACUCAAAAGUGAUAUCAAGAGAACAAGUGAAGCAGUCAAAGGAUGUGUUGAUAACAAUGGAUCAGGUUAAGCAGUCAAAGGAUGUGGUGAUGACAAUGGANNNNNNNNNNCAGUCAAAGGAUGUGGUGAUGACAAUGGAUCAGGUUAAGCAGUCAAAUGAAGUAGUGACAAAACCUAAUGCAACAGUUAGUAAUGUAGUAGAAAAUACAAUAAACAAUAAUACACCCAAAAUGGAUGACUUUGAGAAUAAGGAAAGUGAAGA